UAAGUUAUAAUAUUACAAUAUAAUUGUUAAGUUAUUUUUGUAAGUGAAAAUAAUUUAUUCAAUCUUGUAAGUUAUUUAUACGACUGCAUCGAGAACAUACUUUCUUUAAUUUGUUCUGUGUACAAAAUCAAAUUUUCGCCGUUAUUUUUCUAUCUGACUGACGCUUGAAUUUUCCUGGCUUUCCCGCCAUUUUGUUUUGUCUCACUAUUUCUAUAGCGGAGACUUUACGAAAAAAUUACAAUUUGCUUACAAUAUUCACUUAUUGAUGCAAAUUUUAAUUCUUUUUAUCAUUGAAAGGACACUGUUCUUUUGCUACUAAUCUAUUUGUUUUGCUUGUUGUUUUUUGUGACUGAUUACAGAACUUCGUCCAAAGUCAGCGUGUUAAGGUUUUCCCUCCGUUUGUGACCUGCGUCUUCCCUCAGCCAUCAUCAGCCUUGUGACCAGUCUUACACCUCCAAUAAUUUCCACUUUUCCCUGUCUGACAUGAUUCGGAUUCGCAAGUGCGUCGUAGAUGGCUGCAAAUCUGAUGUGGGAUCUAAAACCUCCCGGUGGCCGCAUGACCCUCGAGUUUCAGAUGUUUGGUUGGACACUCUCAAACCAUAUUGUUCCGGGUUGAUGGGCCUACCUAGAUAUCGUCUCAGGGAAAAAGUUGUGUGUUUGAAGCAUUUUGAACCCAAAAGUUUCACAAGAGGAAGGAGGCACUACAUGGCUGUACCAUCUUUAUUUACAGCUGAGGAAAUUUCAUCUGGCAAGCCAAAAUAUGAAAAUUUCCACUCCAUGCAUGCUAAAUGGGAUCACGAUUAUGCAAAGAAAAUACCUCUCAAUGCACCUCUGGAAACUACCAAAAGACAUCUGUCAGAAUGAAC